CAGCCGCCGCGGUAAUACGUAGGGUGCAAGCGUUAAUCGGAAUUACUGGGCGUAAAGCGUGCGCAGGCGGUUAUAUAAGACAGAUGUGAAAUCCCCGGGCUCAACCUGGGAACUGCAUUUGUGACUGUAUAGCUAGAGUACGGCAGAGGGGGAUGGAAUUCCGCGUGUAGCAGUGAAAUGCGUAGAUAUGCGGAGGAACACCGAUGGCGAAGGCAAUCCCCUGGGCCUGUACUGACGCUCAUGCACGAAAGCGUGGGGAGCAAACAGGAUUAGAUACCCGGGUAGUCCCUGUCUCUUAUAC
rnacentral:rRNA from 1 species